rnacentral:rRNA from 1 species
CUACGGGUGGCAGCAGUGAGGAAUAUUGCACAAUGGAGGAAACUCUGAUGCAGCAACGCCGCGUGGAGGAUGACGCAUUUCGGUGUGUAAACUCCUUUUAUAUGUCAAGAAAAUGACGGUAGCAUAUGAAUAAGCACCGGCUAACUCUGUGCCAGCAGCCGCGGUAAUACGGAGGGUGCAAGCGUUACUCGGAAUCACUGGGCGUAAAGGAAGCGUAGGCGGGAUAUCAAGUCAGGUGUGAAAUCCUACAGCUUAACUGUAGAACUGCACUUGAAACUGGUAACCUAGAGUAUGGGAGGGGGAGAUGGAAUUAGUGGUGUAGGGGUAAAAUCCGUAGAUAUCACUAGGAAUACCUAAAGCGAAGGCGAUCUCCUGGAACAUAACUGACGCUAAGGCGUGAAAGCGUGGGGAGCAAACAGGAUUAGAUACCCUAGUAGUC